rnacentral:lncRNA from 1 species
UAUAAUGCUUUACUUAUGGGGUUCUCAUUAAAUUUAAUGGUCUGUACUUUCUGAGGGCAGUUCAUUCUUUUUUUUAAAAAAGAUUAUUAAUAGCCAUGCUUUUCUCUUGAUGCUUAAGAAAUUGAGGGCUUGAAUCAUCCAGUGUGUAAUAUUCUCUAAAAUGUGUAACGAAGUCCAGGUGCGGUGAGCAAAACAUCAGUUGUCUGUCCAGGUCCUAUCAUGAUAACUCUGCUAGCGAAUGGCUUGGUGUAAAUAGCAUCAGUUGCAACAACAGUUAGUUUGUGGUUGGUCCAGGGGAGUUGAUUUGAAGGAUGCGUGCUAACUAACCUGUAUGUAAUAAUGAGGGAUUUUAUGCAUGUUAUCUAACAAAAGAGGCUUCCUGAUGUGGAUGUUCAGUGUCAAUAUAUAAUCAAUCAUAGCUUACUCGGUUGAUAUUUUAAUACUACUUAGUAGUAACAGUUAGAAACCUUGUGCAUGAAUAAUUGAUAAUUUUAUGGAGCAUAACUUGCCAAUAAUUGAUUAUAUCUUCCAUGUUUGUUAUCUCUUUUUAAAGUUGGAUAUGGUUGUAGGAGAAGAGACAGAGACGAGCGGCAUAGACAUAGGUCUGACUCUCACCCUAUGGGCAGAUCUGAACAUAGAUCAAAGUCAAGAUCUCGUUCGUUCACGCUCAAAAAGGUUGGUUUUCCUUUUAUUUGGAAAUAGAUCUAGUUUGUGAUUUCAUGUGUAUAUUUGAGGAACUAUUAACUGUAUUAUUUCAAGUUAAUCUGAUACUAUUGCUGCAAUUCUGACAACAAUUUGAAGCUCUGAACACGUGGGUUGCUAUUAUAGACUCUUUAUUAAGCUUGUUAUUAUGAAUUAUGCGAGUGAACUUGCAAGAGCCGGUUGGGUGUUAUAUGUAUAUGGGUUCUGGUGGUAAAGGAGUUUCAAGACAGUGACAGAUAACAUAUUCAGGUCCAUCUGCCCAUGCGGUUCGCAACUGACGAAUCCCAUGCCUGAAGAAUAAUAACUAAUUGAAUUUUUUUUGCAAAAUAUGUUCUCUAAAAAUAUGAUAAUAAAUCUGAUACUAUGAAUUGGCCUUAAAAAACUAAUUGAAUUUUUUUUGCAGUGCAACCUGGCUUAUGUUACCAAGCAGUAAACCUACAGGUUCUUCCCACUUAUCAACUUUAAGGACUGGAUUUUGACAGCAUUAUGUAACUGAUGUCAUUGCGCAAGUUUCGGAAUUCAAGUGCUAAUUGCUUGUUUAGUCAGUUACAUUGUUUGUAGAUUAUAUAAUUGUUUCAGAUAUAGGUGAGCUUAUAAAUUUUGUAGGGGUUGAAAAAUUGGUGCAACUCAUGCAACCUAACAGUGUGAAUUUCAAUAUUAGAUUUGGCUUGUCAAAUUAUGCUUGCCAUGGAUCAUUGUAACACUUCCACAAAUUCUUUUUGUAAUAUUACAUAUUAAUAUAUUCGAUUUAAUUUUU